UCCUGCUCCUUCUCCAUUAGCAGCGGUGUCU
rnacentral:piRNA from 1 species